rnacentral:lncRNA from 1 species
AUUUAGAAAUCUGUUAGGAGGAUUUCAUUAUAGUUCUUCUCCGAGAGUGUUACUAAAACAAUAGUUCAUUGAACUGCACUAUGCCUUACAACAGGACCAAACAUGCCCUAAAUCUUAAAGAAACCAAAAGACAGAAAGGGUAGUGAAAAGAGAGAUUAAUCCUCUUUAUGAUGACAGGGAAAUCUUAUGAACUUAUCAGCUUCCAAGCCCAGGAACCAGAUGCAGCCGUCUUCCUUUCUUCAGGAACAGAAUCAAAAGUUGGUACGUAUUCUUGGGAAUUAAUACUCAGGCAAAUGAGUUACGAUUAUCAAUCAACAUUUUAGAAGAACUUUAGAUGGCCAUAUGUCUGUGCCUUUUUUGAGGUUUUUAUUUCCAUUUAGUGCAAGCAUUGGAUUAACAUAAACACAUCUGUAUUUGUUGCCACUUUUUGGCAUACGAAUGUGCUCAGUGUCCGACUAUUGCAUUAUAUUUCAAUGACAUUGUUAAAGAAUGUGAAACAAGCGUUGUUCUCCAAAUGCCUAAGAUACCAUAGAACGGUGUUUUUGUAUUUUUAUAUUCAACACUCCUCGUCACGUUUGGGCUCGCUCGAGACAUUUUGAUAGGUCCAAUACGCGAAAUUAAAUUAAAUGAGAGAAAAUUAAACGAAGCAAGGAGCCUGGCUAGACUCAAAAUCUCUCUCCUGCUCUGAUAUCAUGUUAAAUGAAAUUAAACAACCGAUUUUGUCCAAAAAGCUUAAGUUACCAGAGAACGGUGUUUUUAUAUUUUUAUAUUCAACAGAUAUUAUAAUAUGAAUAUGCGGCAAAAAAAACAUAUGAAUUCAAAAUAUUUAAGUCACCAAAAUGGCAUUUUCAUUCAUGUUUAAGACUUUUAAUUAGUAUCUCCUCAAAGUGCUAAUACUAGUAUUUGCUGUUCCCUUUAUUUUUCACGUUGGGAAGUUUUUCUCUCAAGAAAUAAGAAACCAGGCAUAAAUUUUCUUCUUUUACUCAACAUUGUUUUUUAGUAAUCUGUUGAUUGGUUCUAAGCUAAUGCAAUUAAUCUUGAUAUGCCUUGCUUUAUUUAUUUGCUGCUCCAGUGGGGAAGAUUUCACGCCGUGUUUGUUUAGUCCAUUAUCCAGAACCAGAAGAAUUGGAGAAACCUGGUUUUGGUGCCCUUAAUCUAAGUAGUCAGAGAUCCGAAGGUAAGUACUCCGCUAACAAAUGAAUCUCGUUAACAAUGCUAUCAUGCUGAUUCCCAAAUUUUUGCUCAAUUUGUGACCAUUUAAAGUGCACUCAAAUCGUAUCAGAUAGAUGUUCAAUUCUGGACUGUUUACUUAUUCUCAUUAGGACAAAAAUUAUAUGAUGAGCUCCUCGUCGAUGAUCGAAUGAAAUCGGCUCCGAAGCUGUCCCAUGUCCUUAUUAUCUCCAUCGCCCACUCAAUUACACCCAUUUUCUUUAUUUAGAAAAAUUAUUUCUUAUCAAAAGUUGGUUGAAUGGUUAGAUUGGAAGCAUAGUUGGGAUUGAUGUCAUUCAAUCCCUUAUGAUCAUCUAACAGGAUCUCCUCGUGAAAAUUUCUUGCCCUUUAAUCAGAGUUGUGAUUCCACUAGGUUUUGUUGCGUUGAAGGUCAACUCGAACUCAACCCUAACCUGACCCGACCAAUUGGAUCUUGCGGUGGGUUGAGGAUGGGCUGAGAUGGGUUGGGUUUGAUCGGUUCAGUUUACAAAUGUAAAUGUUUAAGAACUCGAAGUUCAUUCAUUCUCUUGAAUACUAAGCAGUGGCUAAUCUUUUCCAUCGAUGAUUUUCUUCUAAUCUAAAAUUUGAUGAGUGUAUUGUGGUAUCACUCUCACCUUCUCUGAUAUAUUAUGGGUAAGUUCGAGUUUUGGGUUUGUUGUUAACUGUAACCUGACGUAAAUGUGAUUGUCAAAUCCUACAUAGCUUGAUGUUUAAAGUUGGCGAACCUGGGUUGGGAUUCGACCCGAGUUGCGAUAGAUACAAGUGACUACUCUUUUUCAUUAUGUCGCAGGUUCUUUCAGAAAAAGCAUGUCCCGGUAUUCUACAACCCCGUCAAAACACGGAAGCGUUUCGAGGGCCGAAGGAAUGUCUCAUAAUACCCUAGCUUCGGCACAAAGUGCUGCUAAAAAAAUCAGAGGAUCUUCUGACAAAUACAAGCAGAAGAGGGACGAGGCUGCAACAGCGCCUUCUGAGAUAUCCGAAAAGUUUUCGGGCCGUUCUUCUUCUCAUGCUUCUGUAGAAAGCCAAAUGACUAAGAACACCGCAUUAGAGGCCGAGGGGUCUACCCCCGAGAAGUCCGCGAAGAAGAAGAGAAAGAAGAUCAAGGUCGAGGAGUAGCGAGCACUUUUUACGUAUUUCGGUUCUUCUUUUUGCGGAUCACAAAGAGCAAAUUUUGAUGUGCGAAUUGGUCGAGAGCGCAAAAAUAUGUAUUUCGGAACAGGGAAUUUGUAUUUGAAAUUUGGCUUGUUUAGCCAAUUAAUCAUAAAUGUAUUUUUGUUUUCUGAUGUGGUUUGGCAUAAGUAGUUGUUGUGUCAAAGCUUACUAAUAUUAUUAAUAUUAAUGUUGCAUAAAUAAAUGGCUGUUCUUGUUACUUAUUUUUUCUGAGUUGAUAGAGAGAGAAAUUGUUGUUUAGCUCCCUAAUCUUCUAUGAUUUUGAUCUGUUGAGAUCGGUCCUGGGAACUGCUGAUCAAUCUUAAUGGGCGGUUCAUAAUUUUUUGUGAAAAAUGAAAAAUGUAUAGAAGCUAUGCCUAUAGAAAUGUUAUUAAUGAUAUUAAUUAAUCAUCCAAUGAGAAGCUUUGUGUUUUUAAAUGGUCAUGUAUUAUUCUGAUACAAGUAUAAGAUGAGUUUCAUAUGUUCCAUUAUAAAGUACACAAAAUUUUCAUAGCCUUCUAGGUAAACAUGUGAACUAAAAGAAUUAUUUAUUCAUGCAUUUUUAUGUGAAUAAUUUGUAAAUACCCAAAGAAUAUGCUAACCAUAAGUAGGGAUGUCAAUGGGUAUGGACACUCGAAAUUUUAUCCGAACCCGAACCCGAAUGAAACGGAUAUAUUCGAUGCUAAAUGGAUAUGGAUUCAUAUAUGGAUAUUAAAAAUAAAAAUCCGAUGGAUAUGGAUUCAGAUAUGGAUUUUGACUGUACCCGAUCCGAACCUGAACCCGACCCGAACCCGAAUUUAUUUUGUAUUAUAUAUAAUAUAUAUAUAAAAAUUUGAUGUUAUAUUUGAAUUUGUAUUUUAAAAAUUUAGAUUUAAUAUAAUAUAUUUUGAAAUAUUGAAAAAAAAAUAAUUGUUUGGGGUUCAAAUUUUCGGGUUUGGGUUCGGGUUCGGGUUUUGGAUUUUUGGUCGGGUUCGGGUUUAAAUAUGAAUUUUUAAAACCCGUCGGGUUUGGAUCUUGGGUUUGAAGUCGGGUUCCGGUUCGGGUGCUUGAAAAUCCGCCCCGCAUCCGAUCCGUUGACAUCUCUAACCAUAAGAGAGAGAGAGAGAAAUGGUCAACUAAAAACCAUCCAUUAAACUUGGUCAAACACUAAACUCUCUCUCUAAAUCCACUCUCCACCACACAAAUCCCAUGCUAAAACAGGUUUGCACCAACUUAUUAAUUCCACCCACUAAGUUAAUCCCAAAGCUAAGCCAGCCUCAAAAAAUUAAUCCUUAACUACUACUACUAUUGCAAACUCUCUCUCCCUUCCCAAUCCUCCAAUUCAAACUUACUUGGAAAGAACAAAAAAAAAAAAAAAAAAAAAAACCAAGAGGAGGGAAUUUCAAAAUGGCCAAGCUCCACGCCGUCGUCGCCGCUCUCUUCUUCGCCCUCGCGGGCUCCACAUUCGCUGCUCCGGUCCCCGAUUUCGUCGUCGAGGGCCGCGUUUAUUGUGACACGUGCCGCGCUGGAUUCGAGACCAGCGCCACCGAGUACAUCGAAGGUUAUAACAGCGUCUCGAACAAACAUGAACUGAACUGAACUGAACUGAACUGAACGUCCUCUCGAUUUCGUUUAUACGAAAUACUAAACUACUGUUCUGUUCUCUAGCUGCUUAAGCUUUUAAGGAAAGUACGUAACGGUUGUUGUUGUUGUUGUUGUUGUAUGUUGUUGUGAUGUUAUUGUAGGUGCGAAGGUGCGGCUGGAGUGCAAGCACUUUGCGACGGGGGCGGUGGAGCACGCGGUGGAGGGGGUGACCGACAAGACCGGGACGUACAAGAUCGCGCUGACGGACAACCACGAGGAGGAGAUCUGCGAGGUGGUGCUGGUGGACAGCCCGCUGGCCGGGUGCUCCGAGGUGACUCCCGGGCGCGAGCGCGCGCGCGUCCUCCUCACGCAGGACAGCGGGAUCGCCACCAACGUGCGCUACGCCAACCCCCUCGGCUUCCUCAAAGAGCAGCCCCUCCCUGUCUGCGGCACCCUGCUGCAGCAGUAUGCGCUCGGCGACGACGAAUGAGAGACAGAGAAAGAGAGAGCACAAAAGAAGUGAGAGUGAGCAAAAGAGGCUGCUGCUUCAGUCACUGAUGAUUCUGAUUCAUCUCUUCUGGUGUCACCCAGAGUUUUUCAAAUAAACUACUCUCAGCAUGGAUAUAUAUAUAUAUAUAAAUAUCUAUAUAUAUUCAUCACAUCCUAAUGAUGUGAACCAUUACCCUUUUCUCUGUUUCUCUUCACUCACAGAGUGAGAAGAGAGAGAGAGGAGUUUGAUGUAAUUGUAUCCAUGUUAAUGCUGACAAUAUGCUGGUGACUUUAUCUAUUAAAUUUUGCGAUUUUUCGGUUGCUCAAAAAUGAAUAGCUCUUGCCAUAGCACACACAAUUUAAAGAGAGAGAGAAAUUGAACACAAUGAUGAUCACAUAGCAUGUUAAGAAGAUUAUGUAGAAAAGGACUAAUUGGAUGAUUCUAAUCUCGUAUUUUUCUAACCUGAUUUGCUUCCUCAACAACACACAAUUAUUGUCAGUAAAAAGUUAAUAGUAACAUCAGAAACACACAAUGACAAGAGAGAAAGCAUGAGACAAAUUGAACCACCAAAUGAAACCACUAAGAUUGAUACCAUGGACAAAUAAAAUGUAAUAUUUUGUAAUAACAUUGAUCUUCGAAAUAGUGUCAUUUAUACGCAAAAUUACAACCAUACAACAUGAGAGAGAGAGAGAGAGAGACAGAGAGAGAGAGAGAGAGAGAUUAAUCUCCACAUAGCUAUAUGACAACAUCACCAAAGAAUUUCUCAACGGAAACGAAAAAUUUACACUUUCUUGAAACUAAAACUUAGGCAGGUAAGAGUAUAGUAGUAACAGUUAAACUUUUUUUUUCUGAGUUUCGAACCGAACCCUUUUUUUUCCCUCUACCAAGGUUUCAAAUCUCCCACGGGUCCUGCGGUCCAGUUGAGAACCUUGUUGCCCGGGCUCAAGUAUAUGCUCUUAUCGUGCGGAAGCUUCCGGGCGAGCCCGUUGAGUAUCUGAUGGAACGCGUCUCCGGGCUGACCCGGUUGCGGGAAAAGCAUGGCCUGCUUCAUCGAAGGGUUGGCGAGUAAUCUCUGCUUCCUCAGUAUAACUUCGGUCGGUAUCGAUGUCAGGAUUUUGUCCAAGUUCGGGACGUCCUUUUCGGCGACAAAUACCCCGAUUUCUUCCCAAGGGAUAGCAUCUGCAAAAGGGAGGACGAUGUCGUCGGCGAUGAUGACGGGAAUGCACCCGAAAACGACCCCCUCCACCAACCGCGGGCUCCACGGGGCCCAGCCCAGCGGGCACAGGCAGAAGACGGCCCGCUGCAUGUCCUCAUAGUAGGUAGUUGGGUGGUCGGCCGAGAUGUCGAAGAGCGGGUUGUUCUUGAAGUUCUCCCAUAUCGACGCUCGCGCUCCUCUGUAAAAGUCAAAUUUUUUUUGGUGCCAAAAGUUAGUGUUUAGUAUGAUUAGAUACAUAUGCUCUAGGGGACAUGGUGGUUAAAUAAUUCCAAAAGUUUAAUGAUAAGUUAGUUGAGCUACUAAUUUGGUCACCUAACUCUUCGUCUUUUAUUAGUUCGAGUCGGAAUCUCUAAACAAAUUUACCAAAAUGAUAUAAAAGAGUAAGCGGACGCCACAUAAUUUGAUAUCUACAGAGAAUUAGAUGUUUUACCUUGCAUAGUAGCCGCCCUCGGGGUCGUUCCCGACAUCGUAAAACAAACCACGAAAAUAGACAAAGAUAGAACGAGGAAUGUCGGGAGGAAUCAAAUGGGCCUGCAUUUUCUGUGGCGGGGCGUAAGGAGGUAUAGUGAUGGAGCCCUCCUUCAAACACACGUGAUUGCUUUGCCCGAAAGUUUGAACGAGUGUCGCACGUUUAAGCAACGGGAGGAUUCCUCGUUCAAUUGCUUUCUCUUCCUACAAUCGGCAGCGUAAUGAUUAUAUAAGCAACUUCAUUAGAUCGAGAAAGGAGAAUCGUUUGGACACGGAAAUUCCUGAAAUUUAGUUUUUCGAAUUCGAAACCCUUCCUAACAUAUUUUUAGGUUUCAGAAAAUUCCAAAGAAUCUGUAACUUUCUCGAUGGCGCCCAUAUUUGACAUAAUUUUGAGAAGUUAAAAGCUGCAAAAAGCAUACGAGAGCCGUUAUAAUUUGUUUCACCUGAUAGUGAAAGCAGGCCCCAAAAUCAUGCGGAACAACGAAGAAGUGGUCGGCCCCCUCAGUUCGGUUCCAAUAAGGCCAACUAGUCGAAAUAAGCUUUAUUGCACUUCUCAUCAUUCGCGGUGAUUUAAAGGGCAAGGGGAGUCCAUUCGGGGUCAGGUCGCAAGUCGUGUAAACAGGCGUGUAGAACCAGUCGGCCUCUUCCGGAUUGAGGGUUCUAACCGGACUAGAAAGCAAAAACCGAUGCAUGAAGAUCUCGGCGGCGAACAUGUGCGUGAGGCAUCUCGGAUCCUUUUGCACGAUCUUUUUGUUGUAUUUGCUGGGAAGUUCAUACACAAACACCUUCAACCUUCCAACCGGGUCAUCUUCGAGCACAUCGCCGGCGCUUCCUAUGAUUGAAAACUUUGAGGUGUUAAUGCAAACAUAUAAGCCUUAACAAAGAGAACCCAAAUGAUUAAAACACUAAUUGAGAAACUCAAGCUUAAUUAAUCUUGUUGUUGAGCUAAUUUGGUGGACAAACUGAGUUGAGAUAAUAAAUAGUUGCGCAUUUCUAAAUGGAAAUGUGCUACUUUAGAAAUCAUUUAAUGGAAAAGGAAUGUAACAUGCAAUUUGAAGUUCCUCUAACUAAAGAACUAGAUUUGCGGCAGCUAAAGAGGAAAAGAACAGGAGAAUACGCGAAAUAAGAUUCAUUUGGCUCUCAGAAAAAUUAUGUUUUUUUUUUUUUUUUUUUUUCCGAAUUGUCGAUUAUACGAAUUAGUUAAGGGAAAUACUAGGAACACUUAGAAUUUUUGUAUGAAAACAAGGACACUACCCUGUGUAAUUGUUCUUUAAAUUGCAAAAUGUUAAAUUUCCUAAAUUAAGACAAAAUCUAAUUAAAUAAAUGAACAUAUAUAAUCACAUUUCAGUGCCACAUCCUCCUCAAACCUUAAAUUGCACCAAAAAAAUGUCACAAAAAAGAAAAAACUAGAUCUAAUGAACAGCCCAAAAGGGGAGGCAAUAUCAUAUAUAAAACCCUGCAAAGUUUGGAAAUUUCACAUCAAAUUCCCAAAUAAUAGUAAAUCUAAACAUUUUAAUAGCACCAAAUUUGUUAAUCGAAGAGGUAUUACUAUAACCACUUCUCACAAUUAGAUCAAAAGCCCUAAAACAUAACGACGGAGCACAAUUAGCUCGCUAAACCCCUUGCUACAAAUCGAUUAAUUAAGCGAAUUAAUCCAUAAAAAUCAUAAUUUGGAGCCGAAUCAACCAGAAACAAACUAAAAGGUAACGAUAUAAACGAAACCCUAAUUCGAAAUCGAAGCAAUUAAACACAAAAAAAAUGCCCCCCCAAAACCCACCUGAAAUCCGCUCCGUGCGGUGGCUCCCCUCCCCCUCCGCGACACCAAUUCGCGCAAAAACACCAUGAAGGAUCAAAAUCGAGAGCACCCACACGCGAAACCCCAUGAUUCACCCAAAUCACCGCCAAAUUGGGGUGGGGAAAUUGGAGGUGGGUGUGCGAUGACUCGGGGAGACUCGAUCCCUCCCCCCACGCAGCAAUAAAGGCUAGGGUUUGGUGAGGUGUCCGCGUAGAGAGAGAGAGAGAGAGUGAGAGAGAGUGGUUGGAGAGAGGCUUUUUCGUAGAAAGAGAGAUUUUUAUUAGGUGAGAGCUGAGGAGGAAGACGAAGGUAAAAUUGCACGGAUGCCCCUCAACUGUAAGAAAUUGUGAAAUCGCCCUCUCAAUCUUUUUGUUUUUUUCUUUUUUUUUUACAUAAAAAUGUAUGAACAACAUGUCAACAUGUCAACUUCAUUCUUUUAAAUUCAAAACUUUUUGAUUUUUUUUGACGUAAGUGAUUAUAGUCAAUUAUGUUUGAAAUUUCACUAAAUUUGACCAAUCAUUUGGUCAAAUUUAUUCAUUCUAAUCACUAAUUAUUAAAAAAAUUAAUAUAUUUAAUAAUUAAUAACUAAGGUCUCGUUCAGCAUCGUUACUAUUUUUUAUUUUUUUAAAUAUUCAUUCUAUAUGCUUCGAUAUAAGAAUUUUUUAAAAAUAUUGAAAAUUUUAAAAAGUCGUUUUCGUAAUUUUAUUUUUUAUUAUCAAAUAAAUAUCUUAGAUAAACAAAUUGUAAAUAAUUCACUGUACUCCUAUAAUAUAAAAAAUUAUUAAAAAAUAAAAAAUAAAUACUGAUAUUUGAGCAAUUCUAGUUAGUAAAAUUAAAACUCAUAUUAAUAAUAAUUAUGUUAUCCCUUAGACACUAAAAAAGAGUUAAAACUAUGUAAUUUGAUAAAUUACUGAUAAGUUAGAAUUUUUAAUUUCAUUAAUUAAAAAUUAAGUAGGUGUUAACAAAAAAAAAAAAACAAAGGGCCAGUCCAAAGGUGGGUAUCAAAAUACUAUAUACUUAAGGGGCUUAUGUGCAAUUUUACGAAGAAAGAGGAGGUGACACGGAAUGAAUUGUGAUAGAUCGGAGGUCAACUUCGUUACCUAACAAAAAAGGAAAGGAAUAUUUUCGGUGUAACAGUUAUAUGUCACGGCUUGUUGAGUAUGACAUGUGGGGCCCACAAGAGGCUUAUAUAUUGUAUCCCCGUUACACUGAAAAUCGUCGGUGGAGAGAAGGGUUGGUCUUUUAGCAUGUUGGUCCCUAAAACUUAUGUUAUUUUCUGGGUAGUACCCAGUUUUGUUUCUACGCUUCAAAAAUGUACAAAUUUAAACCCGGAAAUUUGACGCGAAUUUUAAUUCAGGCCAUAAAGGUGUCAAUUUUAAGAAAUUUGGUUCUUAAUUUUGCCAAAAAUAUCAAUUAUGAUGAAGAGAGAAAUUUUUUUUAUUUAUAUUAAAAAUAAAUUUGCUGUAAUUUCUGGCUCAAAAUUUCUGUGUAAUUGAGUCUCACUGUCCAAUUUAGUCGACUAAAUAUUGACGUACUGUUAAUAUGAUAUUUUAAUAAUUUCUGCAUUAUCGUCAAUCACAAUACUGAUAUGUCACUUCAUAUAAUCGAAUAUUAAUAUUUAGUCAACUAAAUUGAAUCAUAGAAUAAAAUUUAAGUUAGAUAUUUUAAUAAAUUAAAGUUUGAGGAUCAAAAUGUUACAUACUUCAUAGUUUGAGGACCAAAAGCGCGACUUGACAUUUUGAGUAAUAAAAAGGACCAAAAUAAAUUUGUGAAAAAUGUUGAGGGGGUGUGCAAAAGGAGAAGCAUGUGCUUAACACCGUGUUCGUGAGAUAUCCAUUUUUGACUAAAUAUUUAUUCAAAUAAUAAUAAUAAUAAUAAUAAUAAUAAUAAUAAUAAUAAUAAAUGUAAAUAUUAUUAUAUCAAGGUUGUUUAAUAUAAGUUUACGAAGACACCCGUCAACUAUAGCGAUUUUGAAAUGACUCCCUCAAUAUUUUUUUCUUCUUUUUUUGUCGACGUAUUCUCCUAAUUUUUUAAUAUAUUUUUGAAAUUUGCUGGCGAUUUUGUUGAAUUUAAUAGCUUCGAUCAAUUUUUAGCAAUUAAAAAUUGCAAAAAUCAAUAACUCAGAGCUUGUUUGAAUAUCUUGUAAUUUCAUCGUGCCGUAAUCAUAUACUGUGACAAUAAUAAGCAAAUUCCGAAAUUCAUAUGUUUGAGCUCUUUUUUAUUUUCACAAUAAAUUUACAGUAAUUUUGAAUUAUUUAAAAAAAUAUGCAAGCACCCUUUUGUAAAUAAGUCACAAUUAUUUUGUAGGGCAUUUGUUUAUAAUUCAAAUUCAAAUCAUAUAAUGGAAUUCCAACUUUGAAUUCAAAUUGGAACUAAAUUUAUGCUUGAAGUUAAAAUUUGGACCAUGAAUUCAAAGUUAAAUCCAUAAUUCAAAUGAAAUAUUCAAAACUGGAUAUGUCGACAGAUUCAAAUUUAAAAUGCGUGUUUUUUUUUUAAUAUAAUUACUAAAAUAAUAUAAAUGAAAAAGAAUUAGAAGUAAUGAUAUAAAGUUUGGGGCCCUACAAUUGAAAUUUUUUGGUACACCUCCACUUAAAUGUAAUUAAAGUUGCUGUCUAAUGGAAAGUGACAUGUAACUCCUUUGAAAAAAAAAAAAAACAACAACAAUUAAAUAAAAAUAAAAAACAAAAAAUUGAAUAAGCCAAAUAAAUGAGGAAAUUUUGGGGGAAAAAAAAAGUGUUUAUAAUAAUAACAAGUGUGCCCCUACCUGAAUUGCUUUCUCUGGAAUCUAGGCAUGAUCUUGUGCACUGAAAUUAAAGCUGCUGGUGGGUCCCACACCCUAACAAACUCUUCUUAAAAAUACAUAAUAUUAUAAUUUUAUAAAUAAAUCCACUUUCAGUGGAAAGCUCCCGAACGACGCCCGAUCAGAGAGUCUCUGAUUCGCUAUUAUAUAUCAAUUUUACCUUCAUACAAUAGUUCGAUGGUAGUUUGUAAACCAAAGCUCAGAAAAAAUUUUAAAUUUUAGAUAAAAAAAAUUAUAAUAUUUGGAUAGAGAUAAAAAUGACAUGUGGCAAUAGAUCGGGGCUUCUUAACGAGGCGUUGUUGGAGAGCUCCUUAUUGAAGUUUUUUUCAAGUAAUAAGCUGUUAAAAAAAGAGAAAAAAGAAAAAGAAACUUCAGUGGGGAGCUCGCUAAUGAUAGCUCAUUGAGAAGCUCCCGUCCCUGAUAAUGACCGGCUUUGACUCUAACCAAGAGUUAUAAUCGUUUCCUCUCAGGUUUUUUUUUUUUUUUUUUGAAUUUUAAUACUUAGAGGAUCAAAGAUACAUUUGAAUGAAAGUAAAAUUAACAUGUGAUAACGGAUCAAAGGCUCCCCUACGAGGCGGUCGUUGAGAAGUGUUGGAAGCGUGAUUUUCUCCGAUACAAAUUGUUGGAAUCGGUAAUUAUACUAAUGCCGAUUAUGUAGAAUAAAAUAAUAUGAAGAAAAAAAUAUUGGCGAAGAAAGAAAAAAAAAUAAACUAAUACUUUAUUAAUAAAAAAAAAUUUAAUUACACCUUACACAACACCCUCGGUCUUAUGUAGUCAUGUUUACUCUGGCUUAUUCAUCUAAUUAACUUAUGUUUAACUAUAUAUAGCUAUCAAGUUAUAACAUAUAAUAAAUUCAAUUUUUACUUUGGAUAAUUACAAAUCUUAUUCUAAUUGCAUAAACUUUUAAAUAUAAUCAAUAUAUAAUCUGGAUAUACUCGAUUUCUAACUAAAUUUUAAAUUAAGUUUGGAUUAUUAUUUCCAUCAAGGAGCUCUCCAUUAAAAUUUUAUCCCUUAAGAAGAAGUAGAUCGAAAGCUCGAAGCCCCGUAACCUAACCUAACCUAUGAUAAAAAUCUAUGCGUCUUUACCAAUAAAGUUUUAGGUAAUUUGAAAAUAGACCACUCAACAAUUUUUCGUUUUAUAAUUUUUUUAAAAAAAUCAAGUGUUUUCAUAACUAAGUUAAAAAUUUUGUUAUAUUUGUUGCUCAUUUGGCUAUUAUACUUUAUUAAUUUAACUUUUUUACAAAAAAAUAAUUUAAACUACCAAAUUUGAAAAAAUAAUAAGUUUUUAAAAUUUAUUUAAUAAAAUUAUUUGAUUUUAAAAGAUUUAAAAGUUGCGAAAGCCUUAAUAAAAGAAAUAUAGUCGAGGGGUCUAUAUCAAAAUAUUCUAUGAUAAAGUUGCUUUUUUUUUUUUAAUUUUAUUUUUUUUGUACCUUAUGAAUGACAUGAGCUAACAACCAAAUGUGACAACGUACCCGACAAUCUUUUAUCUUAUAUUAUUAUUAAUAGGAAUAAAAUUGUCCUUUACAUCUAUUUUUUCUAAAUUAUAAAAUCACUUUUUAAUUUUUUAUUCUAUUUAACUAUAUAAAUUAUUAAAUUUUUUUAAAUAGAUGAAUUGUUUAACAUUUUUCGAAACAAGAGCGACGAACAAUUCAGUACUUUUUUUUUUCUUUGUACAUAAUUCCAAUCGAGAACUUAAUAAUAUUAAAUUUGUAGAUAAAUUUUAUAAAAAAUUAGAUCACCAAAUAUAAAAUUUUCAAAAAUUAUUACAUAUAAAAAAAGCCACUUUUCUUGUAGAAAUUAUGUUUGAUAAAAACCUUUGACAAAUCCAAAAUAAACAGUACACAUCAAAUCAAAGCCUUUUAGUUACAGUAUUUAAGAAAUAAUUGCUUNUUUAACUAUAUAAAUUAUUAAUUUUUUUUAAAUAGAUGAAUUGUUUAACACUUUUCGGAACAAGAGCGACGAACAAUUCAGUACUUUUUUUUUUUUUUUUUGUACAUAAUUCUAAUCGAGAACUUAAUAAUAUUAAAUUUGUAGAUAAAUUUUAUAAAAAAUUAGAUCACCAGAUAUAAAAUUUUCAAAAAUUAUUUACAUAUAAAAAAAACCAGUUUUCUUGUAGAAAUUAUGUUUGAUAAAAACCUUUGACAAAUCCAAAAUAAACAGUACACAUCAAAUCAAAGCCUUUUAGUUACAGUAUUUAAGAAAUAAUUGCUUUUUUUUUAUGUACUAAUUUAUGUACUAAUUUUUGAUGUUACGUGAUAACAUUUUGGAAUCACCAUAUGUUUUUGUCGCAUUUUCUUAGUCCUUACGAAAACAUCAUCAUCAGAAGACGCAACAAACAUGAAAGUGAGACAUUAAAAUCGUCUUAAAAUGGAGACAAAACCAAUUAAUCAAUUGUUGUCACACAUAAUGCGACAAUUUAUCUUUAACAAUAUAAUCACUUAAAAACAAGAAAGUAUGUACAUUGAGAAUAUAUAUAUAUAUAUAUUAUAUAUAUAUAUAUGAAUUAGGCUACUAUACUAUCUAUAGUACCCGAGCUCCGGUACUAUAGUGUUUGUUUCAUUAGGGCGUUCAAAUCAACGAUUCACCGCGUUAAUAUGAUCUAGGUGUAUAUGAAGUUUCUUAGAAAAUAAAAUUUUAGUUUUUUCGAUACUCGUUACUUAGUAAAUAAAUUAUAUCAAAAUGGACGGUGAAAAUUGAAUAAUCUUUAAAAUUUGAGUAUAGGACUUUUAAAUUUAAGAUCAAGAAUGUUAACCUUAAUCUAUAUAGUUUAAAGUAUUUCUAUCAAAAUUUGAAGAAAUUUAGAUUCUUCUACACCGUUAAACUCCAAAUCGUCAUAAUAGCCAUUGAAAAUUGACAAUUUUGAAUAGUUUGAUCAAUAGAGUAAACUAUGUCGAAAAAAAUAUAAAUUUUAUUUCUAGAAAACUUUAAAUAGCCUAGAUCAGUUUUAAACGGUGUGGGAUCGUUGAUUUGAACGCCCUAAGAUCGAAAACCAAACUAUAGUACGGAGCUCGACUAUAGAUAGUAACCAGCCUAGCUCUAUAUAAUAUAUAAUAUAUAUAUAUAUAUAUAUUAAUAUAUAUAUAGAGCUAGGCUGGUAUACUAUCGUAGCAUACUAAGUUGUUUUCAAUGAUGCGGCUUCCAAAUCGACAAUCGCUCCGUUAACUUGAUCUACAUAUUAAAAGUAUUGUGGAAACUAAAUUUUCAUAAUUUUCGGUAUCAUUACAUAUCAACGAAUAUCUAAAAUGAACGGCUGAAAAUAAAAAUCUCAUAAAAUAGAUGAUAGAAAACUUGAAUUUAAGAUCAGAUGUAUUGAUCUUAUCAGAAUAUUGAUCUUACUCUAAAUAGAAAAAAAAUUUUCUAUAAAAAUUUUCAUCUGAUUUAGAUUGUUUUACACCGUUAAAUUUAGAAUGCAUCACAUCUACCAAUUAAAAUUGUUCAAUUGAGAGAUCUAGUUUGAUUCACUAGCCAAGAUGAAUGUGAAACAUAUGAUAUUAAUUUCAAUACUUUAAUAGUGUAGAUCAAGUCUAACGGAGCCGAUCGUCGAUUCGAAAGUCCGAACAUCGAAAACAAAGUGGCCCUCCGUGCUUCCAUAAGCAUACCAGCCCACUCUAUAUAUAUAUAUAGUAGGAUUACUGUACUCUUAUUAUGAGUAUAGAGUUUUUCGUACCCAUAAGUUAUUUUCGAUGAUAGAUUUUCUGAAUGAACGAUCCAUACCGGUAAAUAUGAUCUAGAAAAUUUGAAACUUCUAAAAUCAAAUUUCAUAAUUUUUUAAAAUUAUAAUAAAGUCUAUCAAGAUUAUAUAAAAUGAACGGUCAAAAUCGAACGACCUCCUAAAAUUAGAGAAUUGAAUUCUUUAAUUUAAUAUCGGAGUUAUUGUUCUUUAUCUAGAUAGUGAAUAAAAUUUUCUAUAAAAAAUUCAACCUAUUUCGAGACUUUUACACUGUUAAACUAACAACUAUCCCAUAUCGGCUGUUAAAAGUUGUUAAUUUUGAGAUUUUUUUUUAUCGUAAGGUAAAUGAUGUUAAAAAAUUAUAAAAUUUAGUUUUUAGAAAUUUUAAAUGUUCUAGAUAAUAUUUAAUGAUAUGAAUCAUUGAUUAAAAAUUCUAUCAUCGAAAACAGCUUAUGAGUACGAAAGCGAUCAUACUCAUAAAAGCAUCAUAGCCAUACUCUUUGUAUACGCAUUAUGUUACUCUAAAGAUAAUUUAUAUUUUAUAGGAUGAUUUUAUAUAUCAUUCUAUAUACCAAAAUGUGAGAUUGUUGGCUCGAAGGGUCAGUACCAUACCACAUGGUGGUAGAUUAGAAUGAACCGAAUCACAUUUGAAAUAACAGAAGGUCAAAUUAGAUCGAAUCAUGUUCGAAGUGAUGAAUCACAGUCGAAAUAACGAGAGGUCGAAUUGGAUCGAAUCAUGUUCAAAGCGAUGAAUCACAGUCGAGACCCGUAGGCGUUAAGGUCGCAUUAUUGAGGUGAGAUGGAUCCAGAAAAAAAAGAUGGUUUCCAUGGUUGGGAAGGUCAUAGUAGCAAAAGCUAUUGGAAUUGAUAUUUUAAUCUGCAUACUUCAAAUAAAUUGAUUCUAUCUUUCAAACAAAUCGAGCUUUUAGAAUUAAUGAUUAGCACCAACGAUCCAACAAAAAUUCUCUCAAAUGUUGAAAAAAAUUAUAUUUAAAAAGUGAUUGUUUAAAAUUAUUUUCUUCGACUGCUGCAGUAAAAUUGUUCCAAUACUGAAGUUGAGCCUUCUGUUCUCAACUAAAGCAGUAGCUAGAUUUAAAUAUAUCAAAUGAAAUGCCAAACAAUGCAGGUACAACCACGUACUACCAAACAGCCCCUAAAAGGUAAAAAAUUAAGUCGUAACUGGAUCCGCGCAAUCGGUGAAACGUAAUAUUAUUCUUAUGAAAACAAAUAAUAUAUAUACUAGAGCUAGGCUGGUAUACUAUCGGUAGCACGGAGGCAUUCGUGCUACCAAGUUGUUUUUAAUGUUGCGGUUUUCAAAUCGACGAUCGGCUCCAUUAGACUUGAUCUACAUUAUUGAAAAUAUUUGAAAACUAAAUUUCAUAAUUUUUCGGUAUCAUUUACCUAUCAAACGAAUAGUCUAAAAUGAACGGCUGAAAAUAAAAAUCUCAUAAAAAAUAAUGAUAAAAGACUUGAAUUUAAGAUGAGAUGUGAUGAUUUUACUCUAAAUAGUGAAAAAAAAAUCUAUAAAAAUUUUACCAUAUUUGAAUUGUUUUACACUGUUAAACUCACAAACGCAUCACAUCUAUCAUUAAAAUUGUCAAUUUUGAGACAUUUUGAUCACUAGCCAAAUGAUGUCGAAAAAUUAUGAAAUUUAGUUUGCAAAUAUUUUUAAUAGUGUAGAUCAAGUCUAACGGAGCCGAUCGUCGAUUUGGAAGCCGCAUCAUUGAAAACAACUUGGUAGCACGGAGGCUUCCGUGCUACCGAUAGUAUACCAGCCUAGCUCAUGUAUACUAUACUAUUUAUUGCACUUUCUUGGAGCAUGUAAAUGUCGAGGAAAUGUCUAAGUUGCUAAGUUUAUGUUUAUCUUAUAAUCCUUCUCACAAGUUAUGAAAAACCAAGAGAUACCAAACCAAACAUAAAUGCCAUCAAGUAAGAAACAGAAGAGCUGCUAAAAAUUCAAGUAAUUAAACAUCUAAAACAUAAAUACAAAAACACUUGUGAUUGAUAAUUACCACAGUUGCAAUAUGCCAGAAACAUGAGACAACACUUAUUCCAGAGUUCAAAACCAGAAUAACACUGGCUUAUAUAUAUUUAAAAAUGUUUUAAAAAAGAGAGAGCCAAAGGGUUCAUUAUCUCAAGCAUGCAAAAAGGGGUCUUAAGAAGGAAAACAUAUUCACCUACUCAACAUAGUGAUGGUGUAGGUAGGCUAAGUAAGAUCAACCGACAAUCAGCUUGUUCUCAUCCACGAAGGUGUAGGUGGGUACCUCCAAGUUGUACGGCGCGGGGCCCUUCCGGAUCCUUCCGGAAAUGUCGUAGUGCGAGCCAUGGCAGGGGCAGAACCAGCCUCCAAAGUCGCCCGCGUUGGGGAGCGGGAUGCAGCCGAGGUGAGUGCACACGCCGACGACGAUGAGCCACUCGGGAUUCUUCACCCGCUCUGCGUCCGGCUGCGGGUCCCGAAGGGACUGCAGGUCGACGGUGUUCGCGAGCUUGAUGUCUUCCUCGGUGCGGCGGCGGAUGAAGACGGGCUUGCCCCGCCACUUGACGGUGACGGUGGCCCCAGGCUCGAUGUUGGAGAGGUCGACUUCGAGGGAGGCGAGGGCGAGCACAUCCUUGGUGGCGGACAUGCUCAGGACGAACUUGAGGAUGAGGAGGCGGAGGAGGGAGGCGUAGACGAAGCGGCCACCGGUGAGGACGAAGUAGGCAAAGGCGCGCUUGCUGGGAUCGCCGGGAGGGUACCGCUCGUGGUUGUGCUCGUCGUAAGUGAUUUUGGAACUAGGAUUCUUCACAGCUGCCACAGUUGCUGGGAGGUCGGCCAGGCCGAGGUCCCCCCCAUGCCUUGGGACAAGGGUUUCAGUGGCAAAGCCUGCAGCUAAUAGUCAGUAUUUACAACAGAGAACUAUCUCAAAAAGAUGGAGAACUAAAAUUGUUGCCCGAUGUCAUUUAAAAGAAUGAACUCUUCCUAUUCAGCGGAAUCAAUUAUGAUUUGAAGAGCUAAAUCAGGUUAAAAAGUAAACUACGAAAAGAUAAAACCAAGAUUAUAGGAUCUCAUCGCAAAACUUGACCAGCUAAAAAGUUUUUAAUAGAUGUGGUCAAGCAAAAUCUUAGAUAACCCUUUCACUUCCAUAUGUACAUCAACUUUCCUAACUAAAUGAGAACAAAUGCAUUUAAAAACUGCAAGCUGGCAAAAAUAAGCUCUAUCUUCGCAAUUAGGCUUCCAUGUUUGUUAAAAGUAGUUAGUUCUUCAUGGAUAAAUAUUGAGACAUCAGGUCAUUACCCAUCUUUUUGCUGAGUUGGAAAUAGCUAAUAAGAUUUCAUUGCCGUACAACAUGGGAAUUUUGAAUACAAUAGCUUUUUAUUAUAUGAGAGAUAAAGCUAUCAACAAUGAGAAAGUACAAAGAAAACAAUUUUCUAAGACGAAAAAUAGACCAUAAUAUAGUACAUGCCUCCAAGAGGAAAUCAUACAACUCCCAGAAUCAAACUUUCUCGAUGCGACAUGCUAAUCACCAUAAUCCAAAAAUAAGCAUGUUCUACCACAGCGUCCAUGACUGUCUAGAACAGAACAUUUCAUAUUUGUAAUGAAUAAAUCAUAUUUCUAAUAAACAUAAAACAAGUUGUUCAAACAAUAAAAGAGGAAACAGCUUCAAGCGAAACGUCGAGUUGGGAAGAAUCAGGCAUCCGGGCAUUUUGUCUUACACAUUGACACUUACACAUUGACAUAUAAUAAUUACUAUGACAAUGCCCUUGGUUAGUUUGCAUUGAUACAAAUUUUCAUGCUAUGCUCAAAAGCUGAGUAAGUCAUCAUAUACUAUCAUAUAUAUAUAUCUAAUUUUGGAAGCAUGGUUCCAAUUGAACCAUAAGAUGCCACGUGGCGCACUUACAUGAAAAGUUCUAAUGUACCACGUGGCGCACUUAUCAUAAUAUAUAUUUUUUAAACUUAUCAUAAUAUAUUUUUUAGUUCACAAAUAUUUUAUAUAUAUAUAUAUAUAUAUAUAUUAUCAUUAUCAUGCGCACUUAUCAUAAGCAUAACUACACGUACCAAAAAAUAACUGCACAGCAGUUUUUUUUUUCCUUAACCGUAUGACAGUUAUUUUUUUUUGUAAACUGCACAACAGUUAUUUUUUUUUUCUUAACCAAACAACAGUUAUUUUUUCCCUAAACCACACAACAGUUUUUUUUUUUUUUUAACCGCACAACAGUUAUUUUUUUUUCCCUUUUUUCUUUGAUUGUGAGGUAUAUUCAUCUUUCACAGUUAAUAUCUAAAACGUUACAAAUUUUAUCAUCCAUAUAUAUGUAUUACAAGUGAAUGCCAUUAUUUUAUUAAUAUUAUCAUCCAUAUGUAUGAUAGAUGGAGACAGACUUAUUUUCUAUCUUUAUGCACCAUCUUUCUACAAAAGGCAAGUUUAUUCAAAAUUUGAAAAUAAUUACGUGUAAUGAUUUGGUCUGUUUGUAAUGUAUAUAUUAUCUUCUCUUUUUUUUUUCAGGAUACAUAUCACUAUCUUUGGAUUUCGUCAUAGUAUUGAAAUUUUCAGAGCGCAUAAAUAUUUGCCCCUAUCCCAAGAAAUACUCAAUAAUUACUUUUGGGAGGUAUGUUUGAUAUUUAUAUUUAAGUUUUUGAUUGAUUUGUUGAAAAUAAUUGAUAAACAUACAUGACUAAUUAUUCACAAUAACAAGAACUUUUUAGUUUAAAGAAAUCAUAAUAUGAAUCAUGCUUCACAAGUUCUAAAAAAUUACUUUCCAAAUUUAGUCACUUAAAAUUCUUCAAAAAAUAAGUUUACAAAAUUAGUCAUAAAGAAUUUGAAAUAAGAUUAAUUAUAUAUAAAUAAUAAUUAUGUUAAAUUUCUAAUGGAUUUGAACCUUUUUACUUCUUCAUUUUAAAAUCUUUUUAUUUUAAAUUAUUUACUUACAUUCUAUUAGUAUAUCAUGAUAGUAUUAUUUUAAUUUGAUUCAAUAAUUUUUCUAAUAAUAAAAGCUUAAUAUGAAAAAAUUAAUAUAUAUUAUAUAAAAGUUGUCAUAAAAAGAUAUUAAAAAAACUUAAUAUGUAAAAAUUAAUAUUAUAUAUUAUAUAAAAGAUGUAAUUAAAAGAUAAAAUUAAAAUCCGUGCAUUGCACGGGUUAGUUGCUAGUUUAAACAAAAAGCAAAGCACAUGUACUUUGAACUAGAGCUACAGUAAGGGAAAUUAGAAAGAUGAGCAAUAUUCACUAAGUUGCAACAAUCCAGGAUAAUUAUGCAUUCUAUUUUAACAAAAAGCAAAACACAUUUCACUUUGAAGUAAAACUACAGCUAGGGGAAUUUGAAAACAAGUAAAAUUCACUAAUUUGCAAGAACAUAUAUAUGAAAUAAAGGUUAUGAGUGAUCAUCUACAAUGAUCGGUCAUAAAUGCAAUAAUGUCAACUCAAGCACUAGAAGCAUGUGCUCGGUUAGAUCUAUCUUAAUAGCAGCUGUAACAACUACAAAGGAAAAAGAUUUUGUGCAUCCAGCAUAACGUUGACAGUUGAGUCGAUUGAAUCAAAUGAUGAAACAUCAUAUGCCGUCCAUUUCAUAUUCUGCGGUUAUUCCGAAGUUAAGAUCCGGACCAAAUCCAUUUUAUUUGGAACGGCUCUAAUGAGUGUAACUCAACAUUUAGGGAGCUUCUCCACAACGUGAAACAAUCUUUGCAAGUAAUAAUGUAAAAUAUUGUUUAACCGAUGAAAAUCAGUUUAUGCCUGAUGUCACACCUGUCCUUUAUAUUUCCUUUUUUUUCUUUUACUGUUCUCAUAAGGAUCUAGAAUUUAAUUUAAAUAACGUGAAAUUGAAUCAAGAUGACAUUUUAUGCGUGAACUAAAUUCAUAUGAUAAAAACUUGAGCGUUAAUGGCUCACCCAGAGGGACUUAUGCGCGAAAGUUCAAGCUAAUCUGAUAAUCGGACUUAUGGGUGAGUGGAAAUCAACUUACAUAAAUCAAGCUGCAAGGUAUUGAAUCCACAGGGGCUUCAUAUGAAAACAUGGAAAAUGUUGGGAAAAUUAGAAAACAAACCCAACCAUAUGAAGGAGCGGGUUUGCGCUUAUGUCCAAUUAGGGUAAAUUUAGGAUUUUGGAUUUCUCUCUAUUCAAUUAGAUUAUGCUUUGGUAGGGAUUAACACAGUAAAUGAGAUGAAGGAAAAUGAAAGAUGUAAGUGACACAGCACAUAUGCCAUCAACUACAACAACAAACCAUUUCUGAACGAAGAUGAACAAAAGCAUGGGCAAAUUUACCAAUACUAUGCGUGAGCACAUAUUUACCAUUUCUCAGCAACGGAUUAGAGAUUCUUAUUCAAAUUACUGGAACAAAGUGGCAUAUUACGCGGUUCGUGAACUACAUGCAUAAAUUAAUCAUAAAGAGAAGCAUAAAAAAGCAUCAAUAGCUACAAUCAGAACAAAAGCACAACGAAUUGGGCAUAAAUUAAUCAAAUUUGAUGCACAAAAGCAGCGAAUCAACCAAUCCCUAGAAAAUCCCGAUACGAGCAGGAUCCAAAUCGAAAGAAAGAGAUGAAAAGAUGAAGCCCUAACCUCUCGGAGCACCAAGCAGCCCGGAUCGGAAGGCGAUGAGGGGAUUCGAGAGGUCGCGCGAGCUCGAAUCGUCCACGGAGAAAGGGGGCGGGUCGGAAGCGUUGAUGGGGUUGCGGGAGACGAGGACGGAGGAGGCGGUGCUCGGGCGCCAUGCGAGGGCGGAGGCGAGCCUUCUCCCUGCGACCCUCAACAUCGUCGUCCACCUCUUCUUCCCCCUCUUCCUCUUCUUCUUCUUCUUCUUCUUCGAGGAGAGCAAUGGCGAGGGGGGAUCCGAUUUCUAGGGUUUCGAUCGAGAUCGAGGUGGGGAGAGAGAGAGAGAGGAGAGAGAGAGCGAGGGGGUAAUGCGACGGAAAAUGGGGCACAAAAUUGGUGGGGACAUCCCGCAACGAGGGAGAUAUCCCAUCACCCGUCGAUCACUCGGCGGGCGCGAAUUUUAAAGCUUGAUGAACGGCCGAUGGAGUGGUCUCACGCUGAGGCAAAUCCCCACCAAAUAUUUUGGGGAAAAGGCGGUGGGGUGGAGUUGUUAAUGGGCCGAUCCACGUCACAAUUGGGCUUAUAUUUAAGAUGUAGGAGACAUUCAAACAAACAGGCCCAAUAAGAUUUUCUUUUUUUUUUUUUAAUAUAUAUUUGAAACAUUGUGAACUGGAAAAAAAAAAAAGAAAAAAGAAAAAAAAAAUUUAGGCUAUGUUUGGAAUUGCAAGAAGAAUACAUUGUGUAUCGUGAAAAAGUGCAAUGUAAAAAUAUUUCGUUUGCUUCUGUUAAAGAUAUCACAUUGUGUAAAUCUCGUUGAUUUAAUUACGUUAUAAUUUUUACAAUCUCAGCGAACAAACGGAGGAGCAUAUCUCUCUACAUAAUCUUAAAAAACUAAUUACUUUUUCAGUCCAAAUUCUACACUCGUCUACUUCCACCCGCUGAAAAUGAGCAAUUAUGCAAAGCCAAGAUGGGCCGAGUCGGGCCUCGGAUGAUGCACAUCUAGUUGUUGAUUUCUCAGGCUUUGGACUCACUCGGGCCGGAUUGAGGCCGAAUUCGACCCGACUCUACUAACACCUAGAAACUUCUUUCUCUCUCUUACUGUAUAAUAAAAUUGUUAUCUUUCUCCACAAGCUCAGAUGUGUGUUAACACAUUAGAUAGAUCUCAGACGCGGACUUGAAUUUCAAUGAAAGAAAAAGAAAAACACUAAAUAAGGCAAGUAAUUGUGAAAGCUUUUUCCUAUAGCAGAUUCAGACGUUUCGAGAGAUGAGUUCGUAGCUUCUGCUGUUUCAUUCUAAUAAUACUAUUUUUGUUGGCUUAAAUAGACCAAUAUUCUGCCAUGUGGCAGGAGGUCAUAUUGGGCUGAAUCAUGUUUGAAAUGGUGUGAGGCUAGGUGGGCCUAGUCAUGUUCGAAGUGGCGCGAGGCUGAUUGGGCCGAGUCACAAUCAAGACCCAUGAGCACUGUUUCUGUACACUUUAAGUGAAUUGGUUGCGUAUUUCUAACAACUCGAGCUUUUGGAAUUAAUGGUUAGCGCCAAUGAUACACAAGUGAUAUCAAAACAAGAGGUCAUGGGUUCGAUUUCCGCAUGCUACGAAUGUGUCCAGAUGCUAGAGGGGAGAUUGUGCAUACUACCAUAUGGCGGGAGGUCAUGUUGGGCCGAUUGGGUCGAAACCCAUGGGCGCUGUAUCUAUACGCUUUAAGUGAAGUAGUUUCGUAUUUCUAACAGCUUGAAUUUUUGAGAUUAAUGAUUAGCGUCAACGAUCGGACAGUUAUGACUUAUGAUUUCAUACUAUGAUUGAAAAUUAAAAUUUUUUAUCUCUCAAAAAAGAAAAAUUAAAAUUUUUUAUUUAUCAAAUGCUCGCACGAUUUAUUUAAUGAAUCAAAUGGAAUCAUUUGUCACUUAUGCAACUUUCGAAAAUGUGGAGCAUGAGAUAAUGGGAGUGGUACACUGCUAUAUCACUGUAUAGAUGAGGAAGCACUAUCCACAUUUGUGAUCACAUUUUUGUUGUGGUGUGAAGUACCAAAUAUAUAAUUGGAAUUCUCUCUCCUCUCUCUCUCAAAAUAAAAAUAAAAAAUAAAAAAUAAAAAAUAAAAAAAUAAAAAAUAAAAAAGUGAUAGGUUCAAAGGAUUUGAACACUUUUUCAUACUUUUUCAGUUGAGUCGACGGUGCCUAACACUGACACAUUCUCAUAUGCCAUGCUUCUCUCUUCAUGUGUGUACUAUAAUAAUAAUAAAAUAAUAAUAAUAUAAUAAUAAUAAUAAUAAUAAUAAUAAUAAUAAUAAAAGGAUUAAUGGGUAGUCAUUAUUCAAUAAAUUUUUACUAGAGUUUGUGGAAUGAUUUAUUUGGACUUUUUUGUCGAGCAAAUUUACUAAUUAAACAGCUGUACGUACCGGUGACAAAUCUUAGAAACUAACUUUUUUUUGUUUUUAUGAAUAAAAAUAAAGUAUAAGAAUUGAAGAAUACAAAGUAUAUAGGAAAAACUUCAAAAACCACCCCUGUAAUUUUAUACUUUUUUAUUUUAGUACUUAUAAUUUAAAGUGUAUCAAGUUAGUACCAUGUGGUUUCCACUUUACACUUCAGUACCCUGUGAUUUAAAGUGUAUCAAAUUAGUAUCAUGUGGUUUUAUUUUUGUAUCAAGUUAGUACCCUGUGAUUUUUAAACCAUAGGGUACUAAAGUGAUAAAGUGUGAAACCACAGGGUACUAACUUGAUACACUUUAAACCACAGGGCACUAAAAUGAAAAAGUGCAAAACCACAGAAUACUAACUUGAUACACUUUAAAUCAUAUGGUACUGAAGUGAGAAAAAGUUAAACCACAAGGGGGAAUUUGAAGUUUUCCCAAAAAUAUAUGUGAGAAGAUAUAUUUAAUGUGCUUUUAGGCCUCUUUUGUCGAGCAAAUUUACUAAUUAACAGCUGUACAUGCUGGUGACAUAUCUUACAAAUUUAUUUUUUUUUGUUUUUAUGAAUAAAAAUAAAGUAUAAAAAUUGAAGAAUACAAAGAAUACAAAGAAUAUACUUGAAAAGAUAUAUUUAAUGUGCUCUUAGGCUCCAUGAUAUUUUCAUUAGUAAGUUCGCUUGCAGUGAAAGCUGAGUUAAUGAACUAUUUGAUAAUAUUUAAGAGAUCUAAUUGUCAAAAUUAAAAGUUUAUAAAUUUAUUUAUAGAAUCUCCAGAGUUCAGAAAAUAUCCUCACAUUUUUCUUAAAUAAGAAUAAUAAAAACAACAGUUAAAAACAUGGACAAAGGGGGAAAAAAAAAAAAGGACAAAUUCAACCCCUAAUCCAAUUAACAUUUUGAAAAUUCAAACAGGAGCAAUCCACUUUGUUUUUAUCUUUAGUAAGAUGCUCUGAUUCAUGUGACAGUACUGAUUGGUUGGCACGUCGAUACAACAAUAUUUUGCAGGCCUGUUUGGCUUGACUUCUGUAGUUGAUACGAAUCAUAGAAGAUAGGCCAAAGGAAAAUGUUUGGCUCGACAGUCGACAUAGAGCAUUGCUGUGCAGUGGGCUAGCCUGUUACACAGUAGGGCCAAAUUAACAGUUCUUAUUUGCUAGAUCUAUAUAUUUAGAGAGAGAGAGAGAGAGAGAGAUAGGCUCUUGUGCUUUCGAAAGUAUGAAAGGCCUCUGUAUUUAUAAGUCAUUUUUUAUGAUAGGACAUUCGGUUCGGCGAUCGAUUUCGUUAGACAUUCGGUUAGGCUAUUGGAACUAUCCAGAAACCAAAUUUCAUAGUUUUUACUUCAUUUAUCUAGUGAACGAUCAAAUAGUUUCAAAAUGAACAGCUGAAAAUAAAAAUCUCAUAAAAAAUAGUAAUAAAAGACUCAAAUUUCAAAUUAGAAGUAUUGAUCUUACUAAUUGAUGUUAAUUAAAUAGAAUUUUUUAUUAAAGUUUCAUGUAAUUUAAUUUUUUCUACACCGUUGAACUGAAAAACAUGCUAUAUCGACCGUUAAAAUAGUCAUUUUUGACACCUUUUAAUCACUUAAUAAAUGAUGUCGAAAAAUUAUGAAAUUUGAUUUUUAAAUAGUUUCAAUAACGUAGAUUAUGUUUAACGAACCCGAUUAUCGAAUCAGAUGCCCUAUUAUCGAAAAUAACUUAUAAGUACGGAGACCUUCAUAUUUAUAUAUAUAUUACGAGCUAUUUUACUCAAGCUUUUGAGUUUGGAAUCUUCAGAAAGAUGGAGAUGGGGUAGGCCCCAUGCAAACUUGAAUUUCACAUCAGAUAAAAACAUGCAUGCAUUAUAUAUAUUGCUUUUGUUUUUUUAGGAGAUUAUAUAUAUUGCAUACUUAGGACUGAGAAAAUGAAACUAAGGCAAAAGUUCAUGAAAAUAACACAAACUUUGGAUCAUUCGAUAACCAUCAUUCAACUUUUAAAAAUUCUGAUUCUGUUACCUAACUUUUUAACUCUUAUUAGGUUUCAGCAUCGUGCGAAAUUAUUGUUCGCACUAUUUCAUUCUCAAUAAGUAGAAAAAAAUGAUAGUAGAUAAUGUUGCUUCAAAUUGGAUAAAAUUUUCUAAUUUAAUUAAAUAAGAUCACUCACUUGCAAAACAUACACUGUUAAGUGGAUGUGAAACACUAUUUUUGGUACAAAUUGAUCAGCCUCUGAUAAGGACUAGCUAGUACAAUAAUCAAUUCCCACCUCUUUAUAUGUAGCCACCAAUUAUUUUACCACAGUAAUUAAUAAAUAUAUUUAAUUCCAAAGUUAAAUAUAGAUUAAAUCUUAAUUAAUUAAUUAAUUAAUUAAUAUAUAUAUAAGGAAUUUGCCAUAUUAUAACAGUGAUAUAUAUAUAUAUAUAUAUAUAUAUAUAUAUAUAUAUAUAUAUAUUUUAUCAAACAAUAUCAUAUCCUACGGAUAAGAGGGUCAAUAAGCCUUAUAUAUGUAGAGUUUUGUUCAAACAAAAACUCUAAUUUAAUAACUAUUUAUUAUUAUUUAUUUAUUUCCAAAACAAAUAACUUAAAUGCCGUGUCAUAGACCACGUACGAGUUAGUAUGUAGGAUGUGUAAACGUGUCAUGUGACAAGAGGGACAAAUAUAUAUAUAUAUAUAUAUAUAUAUAGAGAGAGAGAGAGAGAGAGUUGGAUUGAGCUACUAUUAGUAGCAAAAUCUCAAUAUUACUACCAGUUUUUUAGCCUUUGGAUCAACUCUUUUCGUUAUUUCUAACCAUUGGAUUAAAUACUAUAACCCAGUGGGGACCACUCAACCCUAGGGGAACCACUCAACUCUAACCGACUAAUAUCAUCCCGACCUUACAAUUUUUCAUCUAAGGGUUAAAAACUUGAUAGCAAAAAGAACGUUUUACAUUAAUAGUUCCAGCUAAUUAUCUAUUAUAAUAUAUAUAUAUUUAUAUAAUAUAAUAUUAUAUAUAUAUAUAUAUAUAAUAAAUAAUAUAUAGGGUAGGCUGUAUACUAUCAGUAGCACGGAGGCUUCCGUGCUACCAAGUUGUUUUCAAUGAUACGGCUUCCAAAUCGACGAUCGGCUCUGUUAGACUUGAUCUAUACUAUUACAAGUAUUUGGAAACUAAAUUUUAUAAUUUUUCGAAAUCAUUUGGUUAGUGAUCAAAAUGUUUCAAAAUUGAUAAUUUUAAUGGUAGAUGUGAUGCGCUUGUGAAUUUAACGGUGUAAACAAUCCAAAAAUGAUAAAAUUUUUAUAGAGAUUUUUUUUUACUAUUUAGUAUAAGAUCAGUACCUUGGAUCUUAAAUUAAAGUCUUUUAUCAUUAUUUUUUAUGAAAUUUUUAUUUUCAGCCAUUUAUUUUUAGACUACUCGUUUGAUAGAUUAAUGAUGCCGAAAAAUUAUAAAUUUAGCUUCCAAAUACUUUCAAUAGUGUAGAUUAAGUCUAACGGAGCCGAUCGUCGAUUUAGAAGCCGCAUCAUUGAAAACAACUUGGUAGCAUGGAAGCCUCCGUGCUACUGAUAGUAUAUCAGCCUAGCUCGCUCUCUCUCUCUCUCUCUCUCUCUCUCUAUAUAUAUAUAUAUAUAAUGAGAAGAAGCUUUGGAUAUAUAUUAGGGGAUGCUGCGAAUAAUUGCACGAAGAUUAAAGCAAGCGAACCUCCGAGAAGUUUGAUAGAGCUUCUAACUUUUAACGGAAAAAAAAAAAAAAAGCAGCCAAGAGAUAUUGCUGAUUAUUAUAAUCGCUUGCAAAAUUAUUCCGCGCACCCGGUGCAUCUGUACAUCUGUGCACCGUCCCUGCUAUCCUAAUCUCAUCAUAUUUGAUAGAUCAGGUUUGGAGGCUUUUGAUCGAAUUGCGUUACGCACAGUGAUAAAAUACAAUAAAAAAAGGGUAAGCUUUAAAUACCCCCUCGUGGUUUCACACUAUCUCACUUUAGUACCAUGUAGUUUAAAGUGUAUCAAUUUAAUACCCUGUGGUUUCGCACUUUUUCAUUUUAGUAUUCUGUGGUUUAAAGUGUAUCAAGUUAGUAUCAUGUGGUUUUAUUUUUCUCUUUUUAUUAUCCAUUUCACUAAUUUUUUUUAUUAAACUUAAUGAGUACUAAAAUGAAUAUUCAAUAAACCUAGAUAGGGUAUCUGAAGUUUUUUGUAUAUAAUUAGCGAAAUAUUAACGGAGAAAAUAAAACUCAGUGACAAAAUUAAAAACUAAAGGGUACUAAAGUGAAUAUUCAAUAAACUUACAUGGGGUAUCUAAAGUUUUUUUGAUAUAAUUUAACGAAACAUUAACAGAGGAGCCGACGAAAAGAGAAAUACAAAAUUAUAAGAUUUUAGGUUUAAGAUUCUAUGUAUUCUUGCUUUUAUUUCGCUUUGCAUAUUACGAAAUAAUUUAUCAGAUCUUCCUAUAUAUGCAAAUGAGUUCUGUUGGUGUAAAUUUGUUUUCGAUAAUACAGUCUCUGAAUCUCUGAAUCGACAAUCGAUACUAUUAAAUAUGAUUUUUGACCACAUAAAAUAUUUAGAAAUUAAAUUUCAUAUUAUUCUUUUUUUUAUACAUCAACUUGACACAAAAAUGAGAGACUAAAAAUAAAUAUUCUUCAAAAAGUAAUUAUAAAAUUUGUGUAAUCAAAAUAAAGAGUUUAAAUUUUAUUUUAAAUAGUUUUAAAAAUAUUAACAAAAACUCAACUGAUUUGAAUUUUUUUAUAACGUUAAACCAAAAAUAUCUUAUACCAACUAUUAAAAUUACAAAUUUUACAAGUUUUUGAUCCUUAGAUCAAUAAUAUUAAAAAAUAUUAAAAAUUNGCGGGAGCAGGAUGGAGUGGGGGGCUUCUGAGUUUUGUGAAGAGUGCGAAGGGAGGAGGAGGAGGAGGAGGAGGAAACAGAUGGUGGAAAGCGUGCACAGGGAGUAUUAAAAGCAGAUGCAAUUGUCAUAUGGGAAGACAAAAGAAAGAAAACAAUAAAGAAUGGGCAUUCUACUGUAUGUGUGUGUGUAUGUUCCUGUAUGCAAGAAUGCAGUGAAGCUACAUAAAAUAAUGAAGUCUAAAUGUGACUUUUAUAUUAAUUGUGCAGAAACCCUACGUGAAUAAAACUCUAUAUAAAUAUUGGGCUAAGAGCUAUCACUUAAUGUGAUUGGUGAAUAUAUAUAUAUAAAUGAGAUCUGAAAUGUAAGUUGUUGCCAUUAUUUUAUAUUUUAUUUCGUACAGAUCGAUAAUAUUUUAUGAGACAAAAAUACACACACACAUAUAUAUAUAUAUAUAUAUAUAUAUAUAUAUAUAUAUAUAUAUAUAUAUAUAUAUAUAUAUAUAUAUAUUAGGCCUUGUGUGCUAUUAGGAGCACGGAUGCCUCCGUGCUUCUAAGCCAUUUUCGAUAAUGGAGUUCUCGAAUCGACGAUCGGCUUCGUUAGACUUGAUCUAGCAUAUUUGAAAUAUCUAGAAAAUAAAUUUUGAGAUUUUUCGAUAUCAUUUACCUAGUGAUCGAAAAAGUUCAAAAUCAACAAUUUUUAAUGGUUGAUGUAUACCGUUUACAAGUUUAACGGUAUAGAAGUAUUCAAAUAAGAUAAAAUUUUGAUAGAAAAUUCUUUAUAUUAUUUACAAGAAGUUCAAUAUCUUUGAUCGAAAAUUUUAAUGUUUUAUGACCAUUUUUUUGAGAUAUUUAUUUUUAGCCGUUGAUUUUGAACCCUUUCGAUCGUUAGGUAAAUGAUAUCGAAAAGUCGGAAAAUUUAUUUUUUAAAUACUUCAAAUAUGCUAGAUCAAGUCUAACGGAGUCGAUCAUCGAUUCGGAAGCUACAUUAUCGAAAACGGCUUAGGAGCACGAAGACCUCCGUACUCCUAAUAGCACACGAGACCUACUCUCUCUCUCUCUCUCUCUCUCUCUCUCUCUCUCUCUCUCUCUCUCUCUAUAUAUAUAUAUAUAUAUAUAUAGGGAGAAGAGAGAGAGAGAGUUGUGCUAGAAUACUAUCGGUAGUAAACGAGCCGUUUUACUACCGAUUUGUUUUCGAUGAUAGAACUUCCAAAUUGACGAUCAGCUCAGUUGAACAUGAUCUAUACCACUUGAAGUAUUUAGAAAUCAAAUUUCAAAUCUUUUCGACAUCAUUUGCCUAAUGAUCAAAGGGUUUCAAAAUUUGUAAUUUUAAUGGUCGAUAAGAAGCGUUUUCUCGUUUAACGGCAUAAAGAUAUCCAAAUCAAUUGAAUUUUUGUUAGAAAAUUCUUUAAACUAUUUAAAACAAGAUCUAUACUCUUGAUCUUGAUUACAAGACUCCUAUCAUCAUUUUUUAAAGAGUAUUCAUUUUCAGNNNNNNNNNNNNNNNNNNNNNNNNNNNNNNNNNNNNNNNNNNNNNNNNNNNNNNNNNNNNNNNNNNNNNNNNNNNNNNNNNNNNNNNNNNNNNNNNNNNNNNNNNNNNNNNNNNNNNNNNNNNNNNNNNNNNNNNNNNNNNNNNNNNNNNNNNNNNNNNNNNNNNNNNNNNNNNNNNNNNNNNNNNNNNNNNNNNNNNNNNNNNNNNNNNNNNNNNNNNNNCCUCACCUAAAAGAUAUCAGCCAAGACCACACCAAGAAAAUCCUCGCAAAAGAGAACUGAAAAAUAAUAAAAAGAUACAAAUGGAAAAGAAAUAAAAUGGUAACAAGGAAAACAAAUCAGAUCAAAACCAGAUAUUAAGAAAACUAAGAUUUGCAAAAUCUCUCUCUCUCUCGUCUCUCUCUCUUGCGUCUCUCUCUCUCGGGUCUCUCCCAUCUCACUCCUCCUCUCUCGUCUAUAUAUAUAUAUAUAUAUAUAUAUAAGGGAGAAGAGAGAGAGAGAGUUGUGCUAGAAUACUAUCGGUAGUAACGAGCCGUUUUACUACCGAUUUGUUUCGAUGAUAGAACUUCCAAAUUGACGAUCGGCUCAGUUGAACAUGAUCUAUAACUUGAAGUAUUUAGAAAUCAAUUUCAAAUCUUUUCGACAUCAUUUGCCUAAUGAUCAAGGGUUUCAAAAUUUGUAAUUUUAAUGGUCGAUAAGAAGCGUUUUCCUGUUUAACGGCAUAAAGAUAUCCAAAUCAAUUGAAAUUUUGUUAGAAAAUUCUUUAAACUAUUUAAAACAAGAUCUAUACUCUUGAUCUUGAAUUACAAGACCCUAUCAUCUUUUUUAAAGAGUAUUCAUUUCAGUUAUUCAUUUUUCUGUUCACUUGAUGGAUAAAAGAAUAAUAUCGAAAGUGCGUGAAUUUGAUUUCUAGGUAGUUUUAAAUGGUUUAGAUCAUAUUUAAUGAGCGAUCUUCAUUUGGAAGCUCUAUCAUCGAAAUAUAAUUGCUAGUAAAACGCCGUUUACUAUCGAUAGUAUUCUAGCAUAACUCUAUAUAUAGAGUGAGGCUACUAUGCUUCUGGAAGCACGGAGCUUCCGUGCUUCCAGGUCGUUUUUCGAUGUUGCGACUUUCGAAUCGUCGAUUGACUCCGUUAAACUUGAUCUCGAGUAUUUGAAGUACUUAGAAAAUAAAUUUUAUAAUUUUUGAUACCAUUUGUCUAGUGAUCGAAGGGGCUCAAAAUCAAUAAUUUUAAAGACCGUGGUGAGCCGUUUGCAAGUUUGACGGUGUAGAAAUAUUCAAAUCACGUGAAAUUUUAAUAGAAAAUUUUUAUACUAAUAAUAAACAAGAUUAAUAUUUUGAUCUAAAAUUUUAAUGUUAUAUUAUCACGUUUUGUAAGAUUUUAUUUUCAGCCGUUGAUUUUGGGCCCCUCAGUUCACUAGGCAAAUGAUAUCGAAAAAUUACAAAAUAUAUUUUCUAGGUACUUCGAAUAUUCUAGAUCAACUUUAAUGGAGUCGGUUGAUGAUUCGAAAGUCGCAACAUCGAAAAUGACCUGGAAGCACGGAGCCUGGAAGCAUGGAAGGCUCCGUGUUUCCAGAAGUAUAGUAACCUCAUCUAUAUAGAAGCAUAGUAGCCGGACUCUAUAUAUAUAUAUAUAUAUAUAUUAUAAUAUAUAUAUAUUAUAUAUAUAGUCCGGCUACUAUCCUAUUAAUAGGAUUGGAGCCAAUUGUCCUAUCAAGUCGUUUGAUUGAUCGGAACUUUAAAUUGAUAAUCGCACACCAUCGAAAUUGUUCUACAAAAUUAGAAAUGUUUAGAAACUAAAUUUUGUAAUAUUUAAAAAUCAUGAUCAAAUUCAUCUUAAGAGUUAAAAAAUGAAUGUCAUAAUUGAAUAACCUUCUCAAAUAGAGUUAGACUUUCUCAAUUCAUAAUCAGAGUUAUCAAACAUAUCUAAAUAGUAUAAAGAAUUUUUAAAAAAAUUCAAGCAAUUUGGAUUGCUCUACACCGUUAAACAAGCAAACGGCUCAUAUAGGCCGUCAAAAAUUGUCGAUUUUACGACACUUUGAUCACCAUGUAAAUAAUUUUUAAAAUUUAUGAAAUUUAGUUUGCUCCUAUCCUAUUAAUAGGAUAGUAGCUCUAGUAUAUUAUAGUUGGACUGGCUACUAUUAGUAGCAAAAUUCCAUUGUUGCUACCAGUUUUUUGGCCUUUGGAUCAACUCUUUUCAUUAUUUCUAACCAUUGGAUUAAAUACUAUAACCCAGUAGGGACAUCAACCCUAGGGGGAUCACUGAACUCUAACCGACUAAUAUCAUCCUGAUCCUACAAUUUUUCAUCCAAGGUUAAAAACUUGGUAGCAAAAAGAGCAUUUAUUAUUAAUAGUAUUCCAACCUAAUUCUAUAUAUAUAUAUAUAUAUAAAAUUUAAAUUUAUGGUCAAAUUAAGGUGGGAACUAAAACUCUCUCUCUAAAAAUAAUAAUAAAAUAAAAGAAAAAAAAAAGGAGGAAUUAAAGAAAGAAAGAACACAACGGCACAAUAGCGUUUUUGGGGUUUCGUGUGAUUGUGACAAACUCCAACUCCAACUCCAACUCCAACUCCAAAGUAGGACAAAUUAAGAUUUUAUUUUUUUAUUUUUUUUCUUGUUCUAUAUAUAUAUAUUAUAUAAUAUAUAUAUAUAAAUAUAAUGUUACUAUCCUAUUAAUAGGAUAGGAGCAUUUGUCUAUCAAGUUGUUCUUGAUGAUCGAGAUUCUGAAUCGAUGAUCGGAGCCGUUGAAGUUGAUCGAGUAUUUGAAAUAUCUAGAAACUAAAUUUCAUAAAUUUUGAUAAUGGUUUACAUGGUAAUCAAAGUGUCGUAAAAUCGAUAAUUUUUGAUGGCCUAUAUGAGCCGUUUGCUUGUUUAACGUAUGUAGAGCAAUCCAAAUUGCUUGAAUUUUUGAUAGAAAAUUCUUUAUACUAUUUAGAUAAUGUUUGAUAACUCUGAUUACGAACUAAGAAAGUCUAACCUCUAUUUUAAAAAGGUUAUUCAUUUAUGAUCGUUCAUUUUUCAACGCUUAAGAUGAACUUGAUAAUGAUUUUUAAAUAUUAUAAAAUUUGGUUUCUAAAUAUUUCUAAUUGUGUAGAUCAACUUCAACGGUGCCGAUUUUCAAUUUGAAGUUUCGAUCAUUCAAAUCGACUUGAUAGGACAAGGGUCCCAAUCCUAUUAAUAGAAUAAUAGCCGGACCCUAUAUAUCUAUAUAUAUAUAUAUAUAUAUAGUUUUGCUAGAAUACUAUCGGUAAUAAACUAGCCGUUUUACUACCGAUUUGUUUUCGAUGAUAGAGCUUCCAAAUUGACGAUCGGCUCCGUUGAACAUGAUCUAUACCAUUUGAAGUGUUUAGAAAUCAAAUUUCGAAUUUUUUCGACAUCAUUUGCCUAAUGAUCAAAGGGUUUCAAAAUUUGUAAUUUUAAUGGUCGAUAAGAGGUGUUUUCUCGUUUAAGCCGUAAAGAUAUCCAAAUCAAUUGAAUUUUAGUUAGAAAAUUCUUUAAACUAUUUAAAACAAGAUCUAUACUCUUGAUCUUGAUUACAAGACUCCUAUCAUCAUUUUUUAAAGAGUAUUCAUUUUCAGCCAUUCAUUUUUCUGUUCACUUGAUGGAUAAAAGAAUAAUAUUAAAAGUGCGUGAAAUUUAAUUUCUAGGUAGUUUAAAUGGUUUAGAUCAUAUUUAACGGAGCN